rnacentral:rRNA from 1 species
ACCUUUACUAUAGCUUGACACUGAACAUUGAGCCUUGAUGUGUAGGAUAGGUGGGAGGCUUUGAAGUGUGGACGCCAGUCUGCAUGGAGCCGGCCUUGAAAUACCACCCUUUAAUGUUUGAUGUUCUAACGUUGACCCGUGAUCCGGGUUGCGGACAGUGUCUGGUGGGUAGUUUGACUGGGGCGGUCUCCUCCUAAAGAGUAACGGAGGAGCACGAAGGUUGGCUAAUCCUGGUCGGACAUCAGGAGGUUAGUGCAAUGGCAUAAGCCAGCUUGACUGCGAGCGUGACGGCGCGAGCAGGUGCGAAAGCAGGUCAUAGUGAUCCGGUGGUUCUGAAUGGAAGGGCCAUCGCUCAACGGAUAAAAGGUACUCCGGGGAUAACAGGCUGAUACCGCCCAAGAGUUCAUAUCGACGGCGGUGUUUGGCACCUCGAUGUCGGCUCAUCACAUCCUGGGGCUGAAGUAGGUCCCAAGGGUAUGGCUGUUCGCCAUUUAAAGUGGUACGCGAGCUGGGUUUAGAACGUCGUGAGACAGUUCGGUCCCUAUCUGCCGUGGGCGCUGGAGAACUGAGGGGGGCUGCUCCUAGUACGAGAGGACCGGAGUG